CAAUAGCGUAUAUUAAAGUUGUUGCGGUUAAAAAGCUCGUAGUUGGAUUUCUGUUGGGAACGACCGGUCCGCCCAUUGGGUGUGUAUCUGGCUUGUUCUCGGCAUCUUCUUGGUGAACGUUGCUGCACUUGACUGUGUGGAGCGCUACCCAGGACUUUUACUUUGAGGAAAUUAGAGUGUUUCAAGCAGGCAUAUGCCUUGAAUACAUUAGCAUGGAAUAAUAAGAUAGGACCUCGGUUCUAUCUUGUUGGUUUCUAGAGCUGAGGUAAUGAUUAAUAGGGAUAGUUGGGGCAUUCGUAUUUAACUGUCAGAGGUGGAAUUCUUGGAUUUGUUAAAGACGGACUACUGCGAAAGCAUUUGCCAAGGAUGUUUUCAUUGA
rnacentral:rRNA from 1 species